UUUGGGGGAUUCAAAGAACUUUUAAUUAGAAGUUGUGAUUCUGCUCAACCAACAUGGUUUGAUCUAUAGUCCAUCAUGUUCUUCAGGAAGUCUCUAUGGAAUGGUUAACAACUUACAGCCACAGUAUUAGGAAACUUUAAUCAGGUGCAUUUUAAACAAAUUCUCCAAAUCACAGGGCAAUCGAAGAAUAACGAUACAAAUUUAAGUAUCCAUUCAAAUAUGUCUGUCUUUUUAGCCAAAAGCUUGACCUUGGGUCAGCCUGUAUCUAAUAUCUGAACAGCACCCCUGCAAGAUCUUUCUCAAAUUGGAAUGCAAAGUCUUGGGAAGAAUAUUCAAGCAAAAUAGAAUCCCUGAAACUUCAUUUAAAGGCCUCAAAUUUGAACAACUCUAUUUUUCAGAGAUAGUACUGAAUGCUCCAUGAUGAAGAGUGGAAGGACUGAAGCUGAAAUUGUGGGACUAAAUCUUUCCAGAACUCAUGAUAGCUGUUCCUCCACUGCUUAAAAAACAGGCUUCCAGGGCAACAUGGAAUCAGCAUUCAUUCUUGGCAUUUUUGAGUACCUGAAAAUAAUAUAACUAAAACUUAUGAAACUCAAAAUGUUUUUAUCUCCUGUGUUGCUUAGACUUAGAAUUUCUAUUUCUGAAGCCAGAAAAAGAAAGCUAAUCCAAGGGCUUAAUCCACAUCUCUGAAGCCAAGUUCUAUAUUCAGUAAUACUUAAUUGAAAGAUGUGCAACUUAAUUUAGGUUUUUCUUUUAAGAAGCUAGCUCAUGAAAUAAUUUCUGCCUACUCAUUUUGGAUUAUUUCUAAAAACAGAAGGCCCAAAAUUAUUAUCAAUCUAUAUUCUUAACUAUAUGGAGAUCCUAUUUGGGGGUCUUUUCACUGUAAAUAGCAGCAGUGAUGGAGGGAAGGAAAGGGUCUGGUGAGAGAAGACAGAGAGCUAAAACUUCAGGUGAGAAAGAUUCUACAAUCAUUGGAAGUUUUAAAAUAUCUGUAAUGCCUAAGAUCCAUUACUACACAAAAACUCAUUCUCCUUUUCCAUAACAAUCAUCAUCAUAAAACUACCAAUUAAGUAUACCUUUCCUCUGUUGACAAAAGAUACAAGAUGGUCAGUUAGUACCUUGCUUUUGGUGAGUGUGAGAGUACUUGUAAUCCCUAGAAGAAAAAGUGGUUAACUGUGUGUGUGGAGGCAGUGGUGGUGGUGGGGGCGGAGGUAGUUUAGAAUUCCCGUAUGCCUCUGUGUUCACUUAGUCAUUCAGAAAGUAUUUAUCGAGUGACCGUAUGCCAGGAAAUGUAAGUCCUUCUUUGUAGCAGUGAACAAAAGUGACAAAAAUCCCUGCUUUCCUGAAGCAUAGUCAGAAGAGACUAAUAAUAAAUCAACACAUAUUUUAAUAGUGUUGAUAAAACAAUGGAAAAAAAACAAACAAGAGAGGGGGAUAGGGAGAUUUGGUGGGUUUGCCAUUUAAAAUAAGAUGAUGAGACAUAUGGAGAUUAGGGGCAACAGUCAUCCAAAUGAGGGAGUAGAAAUGGCGAGUUCAACAAGCAGGGAGGUGACUCCUGUGGUUGGUGUGUAGCGAGUAGGAGGGUCAGAGGGUAGUGAGGGGAGAAGGCAACACUGUGCAGGACUUUUGGUACUGUAAGGAUUUUGGCUUUUAUUCUGAGAUGGAAAGGCACUGGAAGCUUUUGAGCAGAGUGAACUCAUGAUCAGACCUAUGUUUCAAAAAACAAAUUGUUGAGUAAAGACUGAAAAGGGGAAAGAGUAGCAGCAGAGAGGCCAGCCAGUAGGUGGAGUGGAUAGGGUGGCAGUGGGGAAGGUGGCUGGAUUUCAGAUAGGUUUCAAAGGUAGAGUUGAAAAGGUCUGCUGACAGGUUAGAUGUAGGUUGAGGUUUUCUAAUUACAUUUCUAUUAGAUUAGGAAAGCAGAGUCAGUAAUGACUGCAAAGUUUUGGUCCUGAGCAACUGGAGGUAUGUGUGGAGCAUAUGCUUGGGAAGUGACGUGUAAUUUUCUAAGGCUAUUGGAUUAAAUGGCGAGAAGGGGCAGUCAAAAUUAGGGGGAGGGGGUCAAUCUUGUAUAUUUGGACUUUGUUGUGUUGUUUGUAUGUGUAAAGGGAAGAGAAGACAGAUGAUUUUUGGUGACUGAAUAUCCCACCACCGUAUCCUCUUCCCAUCAAAGCUAGCAGUGGAAUUUUUAAGUAUGAGAAGGGCUUCUAAUUCACGUCAAGGAAAUAGGUAGACUCCCUCUUUAAAUUUUCUUAUCAUUGGGGCUGAAGGAUCCCCACACUUAAAAGUCUCCUGUGUUUUGGUGUCAGGGGUUGUGGGGAUGUGACGGUUGUUUAUGAAAGUUGAAUUCCAGUUGUUUCUAAAUGUAACAAGAAAGAGGAAGGCCUGUCAGCAAGGGAAUCGGAAUCCGCCUUGACUUGAAUAAGAUUAAGGACAACCCAAGUAUUUUGGGAAAUGUGUGAGGAGUUUUAGUUUUCAGCUUGAUAGUGGUAAUGGUGGGGAUGAGGGCCAAUACAUAUAUUUGUAUGUGUUCAGGAAUGGUGGUUGCAGGGGAGAACGUUGAAAGGAAACAAGCUGAUUCUUACCAAUUCCUGUCUGCUCUAUCAUCACUCUUCUUCAAUGCAGGUGGUAACACUGGAUCUUUGCUGAACGAAGCCUGUAGAAUUACUUUCUUCAUUCACUGCCUCUCCUUUCUUACUGCCCACUCUGGUCCUUACCUCCUGAAAUCUCAGCUUUCUCUCUUCCUAUUUAGCUAAACUUACUCUCUUAACAAUCAUUCAUGAUCCACCGCUCCCAAAGUCAGGACCCUUGACUUGGUUCUCACUUCCCUGACCUCUUGUCAGUAUUUAGUACCCAUCACCUACCACAGGCAUGGACGCAUGUCCUGCCAGGCUCCUGGCUGUCUCCUCUCUGCACUGGCUGUCUGUUCCACUCUCAGAAUGUUCUUCGUCAUAACCUUCUCUGGUCCUUCCUGAUUCCUUACUGCAGUUAGGUAAUAAACUUUGCCAAAGAAAAAACAGAGAGAACUCUUUAUAUGAAGUAAAUUUCUCAGACUAGAGUAAUUGGGACACCUCAUUCUCACUAUACUUGGUUUGCUCACAAUAGUUAUUUCGAUUUAAUUUUUGGGAAGUGAAUAACUGGUUCCCCUGCAACCUACAUUUAUUUCUUCUUCUUUUUUAUUUAAGCAUGGAAAAG
rnacentral:lncRNA from 10 species